rnacentral:rRNA from 1 species
UACGGGGGGGGCAAGCGUUGUUCGGAAUUACUGGGCGUAAAGGGCUCGUAGGCGGCCAACUAAGUCCGACGUGAAAUCCCCAGGCUUAACUGGGGAACUGCGUCCGAUACUGGAUGGCUUGAGUUUGGGAGAGGGAUGCGGAAUUCCAGGUGUAGCGGUGAAAUGCGUAGAUAUCUGGAGGAACACCGGUGGCGAAGGCGGUUCUCUGGGCCUUACCUGACGCUGAGGAGCGAAAGCGUGGGGAGCGAACAGG